GUACGCUGUAACGUGCUCGAGAAUAUGUACAUUGUAAAAAAUUGGUGGAUGUGCAGCACCAUUUUGUAAUAAUUCAGCAGCCAAAGGAUACAGCAUGAAGAUAUUUCCUAAAGAUCCCAUACAUCGAGCGUUAUGGAUAAAAAAUGUUCCAAGUGAUAAUUGGACAUGGACAAAGAAUUCUCGUCUUUGUGAGGUUCAUUUUGCCCAAGAAAUGUGGGAUGCCAAAUCGCAAACAUAAGUUAAAACAAGAUGCAAUACCAACAAUUUUUGUUUUUUUUUUAAAAAAAAGCAAGUACCAACAAAAGACAUGGAAGAGAAUGAUGACAGUACUACAAGUAAUGUACAUACAAUAACCAGCAGCACACAAAGCAGUAAAUGUACAAAUAAAGAAGCAAGUGAUAACGAAGUAGCAACUGAAAAUGAAGAAGUUAAUAUUGAUGAAGUUAUUUUUGUGAUACAUGCAGUAUUUAUGUGAUACAAUGUGUGAUAUAUAAAAUAUAUGUAUUUUUUUUUUUACAAUACAUAAAGUAUUUUAAUUAAUGUUUUGUGUUUAUUUUCCUUUGUAUUUUUUUUUAUUUUGUUAAUUAUAUACAACUACUCAAUAAAGAUUAAGUGCAAGGAAUUGC